AAGAGACAAGAAAAAAACGAGAAAGGCAUGUCAGAGGGCUUCUGGGUAAUAUAAAGGGAUGUCCUAGGAAAGAUUUCAGUUGUUCGAGUUGAGCAUUCCAGCUGUUCAACAUCCGAUCCCAUGGGUUCAUGAGAAGGAAGAAGCUGACCACCACAUCAGACAAGUUCCAAAAUCUCAUUUACUCCUGGGGGCCACCUAAUCACACAAAACACCGAUCUUUUAAACACACACACACACUCUCCACCUCUUCAAAACGCCGUGUGAAAAGCCCAUAGAAACACAAAAGUCUAUUAUUAAGGACCCAGGGUCAC
rnacentral:lncRNA from 1 species